rnacentral:rRNA from 1 species
CGACCCCUAAGGCGAGGCCGAAAGGCGUAGUCGAUGGGAAACGGGUUAAUAUUCCCGUACUUGGUGUUACUGCGAAGGGGGGACGGAGAAGGCUAUGUUGGCCGGGCGACGGUUGUCCCGGUUUAAGCGUGUAGGCUGGUUUUCCAGGCAAAUCCGGAAAAUCAAGGCUGAGGCGUAACGACGAGGCACUACGGUGCUGAAGCAACAAAUGCCCUGCUUCCAGGAAAAGCCUCUAAGCAUCAGGUAACAUCAAAUCGUACCCCAAACCGACACAGGUGGUCAGGUAGAGAAUACCAAGGCGCUUGAGAGAACUCGGGUGAAGGAACUAGGCAAAAUGGUGCCGUAACUUCGGGAG